AACGAACGCUGGCGGCAGGCUUAACACAUGCAAGUCGAGCGCCCCGCCAGGGGAGCGGCAGACGGGUGAGUAACGCGUGGGAACGUACCUUUUGGUUCGGAACAACUCCGGGACACUGGAGCUAAUACCGGAUAAGCCCUAACGGGGAAAGAUUUAUCGCCGAAAGAUCGGCCCGCGUCUGAUUAGCUAGUUGGUGAGGUAACGGCUCACCAAGGCGACGAUCAGUAGCUGGUCUGAGAGGAUGAUCAGCCACACUGGGACUGAGACACGGCCCAGACUCCUACGGGAGGCAGCAGUGGGGAAUAUUGGACAAUGGGCGCAAGCCUGAUCCAGCCAUGCCGCGUGAGUGAUGAAGGCCUUAGGGUUGUAAAACUCUUUUGUCCGGGAAGAUAAUGACUGUACCGGAAGAAUAAGCCCCGGCUAACUUCGUGC
rnacentral:rRNA from 1 species